rnacentral:rRNA from 1 species
GACGAACGCUGGCGGCGUGCUUAACACAUGCAAGUCGAACGGUGACCCAGGGCUUGCCCUGGUGAUCAGUGGCGAACGGGUGAGUAACACGUGGGCAACCUGCCCCUGACUUCGGGAUAACUCCUCGAAAGAGGAGCUAAUACCGGAUACGACCACUUCGGACAUCCGAUGGUGGUGGAAAGUUUUUCGGUCAGGGAUGGGCCCGCGGCCUAUCAGCUAGUUGGUGGGGUAAUGGCCUACCAAGGCGACGACGGGUAGCCGGCCUGAGAGGGCGACCGGCCACGCUGGGACUGAGACACGGCCCAGACUCCUACGGGAGGCAGCAGUGGGGAAUAUUGCGCAAUGGGCGAAAGCCUGACGCAGCGACGCCGCGUGAGGGAUGAAGGCCUUCGGUUGUAACCUACUUUCUAGCAGGGACGAAGCGAAAGUGACGGUACCUGCAGAAGAAGCACCGGCUAACUACGUGCCAGCAGCCGCGGUAA